rnacentral:rRNA from 1 species
CAGUAGCCGCGGGAAUACGAAGGGGGCUAGCGUUGUUCGGAAUUACUGGGCGUAAAGGGCGCGUAGGCGGCGGAUCAAGUCAGGCGUGAAAGCCCCGGGCUCAACCGGGGAACGGGCGUGGAUACGGCCAUCUUUGAGGAACGUAGGGGGACCUGGAACUUCCGGUGGAGCGGUGAAAUGCGUUGAGAUCGGAAGGAACGCCCGUGGCGAAAGCGAGGUCCUGGACGUUUUCUGACACUGAGACGCGAAAGCCAGGGGAGCGAACGGGAUUAGAUACCCCCGUAGUCCCUGUCUCUUAUAC